GCCGCAGACAGUGCCCGUGCCGGGGCGGGGAGGCGAGUUCUCCCUGCGGCCGCGGACCCUGGAUGGUGGCGUCGCCCGAAGACGCGCCUCACCGGCCUGGGUGGGGUUGCCUUUUGCCCUCGAGGCUGGCCUAAGCGCUGGGGGGCCGCUGGCUAACCCUGAGGUAGAUACUCGGGAAAUGGGUGGAAUAGGGAAAGGGACUCAGCCCUUCCGCCCUUUUCCCCAGUCGAGGCCCGCGUCACUGCCCUGUGGGUGCAGACGCCUCCAGUGUCACUCCCCUGGAUUUCGCUUGGGCAGAAGAAGAGAUUGUAGGCCGGACCCCAACGCCGAAGCCCUGAGGCUUCUAAUGUGAGGAAAAACACGGAAUGACAAGUGUGGGAAAGAGCAAGCACUAAAUUACUGUCAGAAAAAUAAACGGAGUAGCACAGUGCUGCUCGGUGAUUUACGGGGGCAAUUAGUCACCACCCCACGGCGCUGCUGAGGACAGCACGGCAGCAGACAAGUCAGGCCCAUGAGGAAGAAGAGGCUUUGCACUGCUCUCCAGACAACUUUUCAAACAACAAGAGAGGAUAUUUGAGCACAUUAGGUUUUGUGUCUUCAUUCUGGGUUGAGGUAAGAAUUAAUGUAUGUUGGCCGGAUGUGG
rnacentral:lncRNA from 1 species